CUGGCUCAGAUUGAACGCUGGCGGCAUGCCUUACACAUGCAAGUCGAACGGCAGCGCGGGGCAACCUGGCGGCGAGUGGCGAACGGGUGAGUAAUAUAUCGGAACGUACCCUGGAGUGGGGGAUAACGUAGCGAAAGUUACGCU
rnacentral:rRNA from 1 species